GAAAAGGGGAAUUCCCAGUGUAGCCGUGAAAUGCUUAGAGAUUUGGGGGAACACCAGGGGGGAAGGCGACUUUUUUGGUCUGUAACUGACACUGAGGCGCGAAAGUGUGGGGAGGAAAAAGUGAUUAGAUACCCUGGUGGUCCUCGCCGUAUACGAUGAGUGCUAAGUGUUAGAGGGUUUUCGCCCUUUAUUGUUGCAGCUAACGCAUUAAGCACUCCGCCUGGGGAGUACGGCCGCAAGGCUGAAACUCAAAGGAAUUGACGGGGGCCCGCACAAGCGGUGGAGCAUGUGGUUUAUUUCGAAGCAACGCGAAGAACCUUACCAGGUCUUGACAUCCUCUGACAACCCUAGAGAUAGGGCUUUUUCCUUCGGGGGACAGAGUGACAGGUGGUGCAUGGUCGUCGUCAGCUCGUGUCGUGAGAUGUUGGGUUAAGUCCCGCAACGAGCGCAACCCUUGAUCUUAGUUGCCAGCAUUCAGUUGGGCACUCUAAGGUGACUGCCGGUGACAAACCGGAGGAAGGUGGGGAUGACGUCAAAUCAUCAUGCCCCUUAUGACCUGGGCUACACACGUGCUACAAUGGAUGGUACAAAGGGCUGCAAACCUGCGAAGGUAAGCGAAUCCCAUAAAGCCAUUCUCAGUUCGGAUUGCAGGCUGCAACUCGCCUGCAUGAAGCCGGAAUCGCUAGUAAUCGCGGAUCAGCAUGCCGCGGUGAAUACGUUCCCGGGCCUUGUACACACCGCCCGUCACACCACGAGAGUUUGUAACACCCGAAGUCGGUGAGGUAACCUUCAUGGAGCCAGCCGCCUAAG
rnacentral:rRNA from 1 species